CCCAUUCACCAUCCAACGAGUUCUCUGUAUUUUCUUUGUAUUUGAUUUUCUUAAUGUACAUAGAGGUUACCUGUAUCUAUGAUGAAAGAUGAAAGGCUUGUUUCUCAUGAACAUUCGCAGUGGCCGCCUGAUCGAACUUUCGCCUUCGCCAGGCUUGAGAGUUAAUGUUGCUCCAUCCUUCCUUCCUUGGAUGUCUGAGAUCCUCCUCCUCUUUUUUCAAUGUAUAUUUAUUUUUUCAAUUUUAUUUUUAUUUGUCCUGAUGUGUAAGAAACUGGUGAUGAUAAUCUUAAGGCUUGUUUCUCAGAAACAUUCGCAGUGGCCGACUAAGAGCUUUCGCCUUCGCCAGGCUCGAGAGCUUAUGCUGUCUUGCUCCUUCCUUCCUUGGAUGUCUGAAGUUUCAAUAUAUAUGUUAUUUAUUUAUAUAUGGAGAUUUAGUGUGGGUUUCUCAAUGAUGAUUUCAAUAGAUGACGAGUCUGAUAUAUUAUCCAUUCCAUUCAAUUAUGAAGACGAAUCGAGGCAUUUGUCUGAGAGCCAACCCAUAUAUACUACUGACCCCUUUGUUUUUCAUUUUUAAAAAUCUUUGCCAGUUAAUUUUGAAUGUUUUUUUUUAAAAAAAAAAUUGGCCGAUGAUUAAAUUCAAAUUAAUGACAAGCAUAUGUCUGAAUAAAUAUAUGUUGUUAAUCUUCUCGAUGAGGCCACAUUCAUUUUGAAACCGACGAUGAUUAGAUUUGUGUUUGCGUAAUGUGUGUUGCAACAAUUUUACUGCCUUCCUUCUAAGGUUUAAAAUAAUUUUAUGGUUUUUGAUUUAAUUGUUGAUGAUUUUGAAGAGUUCAGAUGAUGAUCAAUUGCAUAGUUCAAAUGAAUGUUUGUGAUUAGAAAAGUUUUAGUCUUUCGCUCCUAUCUGAUGAACUCUGAUUUUUAUUUUUUAUUUUGAUAAUGAUUGUAUUUAAUUUAAUGGGAAAUUGAUGACUCCAUGUGAUAAGGUCUCGUUCGUCGUAAUGAUAUGAUGAACUCACACCUUGCCGACCAUCCUGUUAUAUCACCACCCAUAAACUGAAUCC
rnacentral:lncRNA from 1 species